rnacentral:rRNA from 1 species
CAACGUAUACAAUCUGCCUUUUACAGGGGAUAGCCUUUCGAAAGAGAGAUUAAUACCCCAUAAUACAUGAAAUAGCAUUAUUUUAUGUUGAAAGCUCCGGCGGUAAAAGAUGAGUAUGCGUCUGAUUAGCUAGAUGGUGAGGUAACGGCUCACCAUGGCCACGAUCAGUAGGGGAUCUGAGAGGACUACCCCCCACACGGAUACUGAGACACGGAUCCG